GGGCGUAAAGCGCGCGUAGGCGGUUUUUUAAGUAUGAUGUGAAAGCCACGGCUUAACCGUGGAGGGKCAUUGGAAACUGGAAAACUUGAGUGCAGAAGAGGAAAGUGGAAUUCCAUGUGUAGCGGUGAAAUGCGCAGAGAUAUGGAGGAACACCAGUGGCGAAGGCGACUUUCUGGKCUGWMACUGACGCUGAUGYGCGAAAGCGUGGGGAUCAAACAGGAUUAGAUACCCUGGUAGUCCACGCCSUAAACGAUGAGUGCUAAGUGUURGGGGGUUUCCGCCCYUUAGKGCUGCMGMUMACGCAUUAWKCACUCCGCCUGGGGAGCACGACCGCGAGGWUGAAACUCAAAGGAAUUGACGGGGACCCGCACAAGCGGGGGAACAUGUGGUUWAAUUCGRAGCAACGCAAAAAACCUUACCCAAUCUUGACAUCCUUUGACCCUUCUAGAGAUAGAAGUUUUCCCUUCGGGGGACAAAGUGACAGGUGGUGCAUGGUUGUCGUCAGCUCGUGUCGUGAGAUGUUGGGUUAAGUCCCGCAACGAGCGCAACCCUUAAGCUUAGUUGCCAUCAUUAAGUUGGGCACUCUAAGKUGACUGCCGGUGACAAACCGGAGGAAGGUGGGGAUGACGUCAAAUCCUCUUGCCCCUUAUGAUUYGGGCUACACACGUGCUACAAUGGACAAUACCAAGGGCAGCGAARCCGSWAGGUCAAGCAAAUCCCAUAAAGUUGUUCUCAGUUCGGAUUGGGSCUGCAACUCGACUACMUGAAGCUGGAAUCGYUAGURAUCGUAGAUCAGCAUGCUACGGUGAAUACGUUCCCGGGUCUUGUACACACCG
rnacentral:rRNA from 2 species